CCCCCGCGCGUCUCUCACAGACCCCGGCCGCGCGCUGCCGCCGCCGCCGCCGCCGCUCGCUCGUUCGCUGGUACCCGCGCAGGCCCUCGGGCGGCGGUGAGGCGGCGCCGAGGCACAAGGGCGGGCGGCGAGGCGACCGCGCGGAGGCGAGCGGGCCGGGCCCGGCUGGCCGCCGCCAUGAGCGGCUCCUCGGGCACCCCGUACCUGGGUAGCAAGAUCAGCCUCAUCUCCAAGGCGCAGAUCCGCUACGAGGGCAUCCUCUACACCAUCGACACGGACAACUCCACCGUGGCGCUCGCCAAAGUGAGGUCCUUCGGCACUGAAGACCGGCCCACGGACAGGCCUGCCCCGCCGAGGGAGGAGGUUUACGAGUACAUCAUCUUCCGGGGGAGCGACAUCAAGGACAUCACGGUGUGUGAACCCCCGAAAGCCCAGCACACGCUGCCCCAGGACCCCGCCAUCGUUCAGUCUUCCCUGGGCUCGGGCUCGGCCUCCUCCUUCCAGCCACACGUGCCCUACAGCCCCUUCCGAGGAAUGCCGCCCUACGGCCAGCUGGCCGCCAGCUCCCUGCUCAGCCAGCAGUAUGCCGCCUCCCUGGGUUUAGAGAAGUUGGUAAGCCCCCCAGCCUCGGCCGCGGCUUCCAGCCCUAGCUCUUCUCCGUCUCCACAGCCCGUUUCAGAGCUUGACUUGUCCUCAGAGCCACGCCAGCUCACUUCCAAGGGUAACAGCAGUUUUGGAGAACUGCAUGCUGUCUCGCGAGGCCUCCUGAGAGCGAGGGGGGCUGGUUUUCCGUCCGUCUCGGUUGGGAAGAGCCCCAUGGUGGAGCAGGCUGUCCAGACCGGCUCUCUUGACAACCUGAACGCCAAGAAGCUGUUCCCCAGCAAGGGCCCGGCGGGGACUCAGCUCAGCGGGCGCGCGGCCCCGCCCAGCAGCAAGACGGCCAGCGAUGCAGUUCAGCCUCCAGCUGCGCAGACUUCAGGGCAGGUGAACGACGAGAACAGAAGACCUCAGAGGAGGCGAUCGGGGAACAGACGAACAAGGAAUCGCUCCAGGGGGCAGAGCCGUCCCACUAACGUCAAGGAAAACACAAUCAAGUUUGAAGGCGAUUUCGACUUUGAGAGCGCCAACGCCCAGUUCAACCGGGAGGAGCUGGACAAAGAAUUUAAGAAGAAACUGAAUUUCAAAGAGGACAAGGCGGAGAAGGGGGAGGAGAAGGACCUGGCCGUGGUGGCCCCGAGCGAGGAGGCCCCCGCCGAGGAGGACCACCUGGGGCCCAACUGCUACUACGACAAGUCCAAGUCCUUCUUUGACAACAUCUCCUCCGAGCUCAAGACCAGUUCCAGGCGAACCACGUGGGCAGAGGAGAGGAAGCUCAACACGGAGACCUUUGGGGUGUCGGGAAGGUUGCUCCGGGGCCGUAGUUUCCGGGGUGGAUUUCGAGGGGGCAGGGGCAACGGCACAGCCCGUCGUAACCCAACUUCCCACAGAGCUGGGACCGGCAGGGUGUAAGGAGGCGGCUGCUGGUGCUUGGAGCAGCGCGUUCGCGGGCGGUGUCCGCGAGGACGACGAACGCUGCGCUUACGGGGCGACGUGCGGCGCUUGGUUUUCCGGGUUUGGAAGAUUUUCAUGCCACGACUUACGUUUUGGACAGAACUGAACUUGGAUGUGGGCUGAGUGAGCACCACGUGUUUUGGGGAGAGCGUUCAUAGGUAACCUCUUUGAGGUUUCUUGGCCUCUCUCCUUUUUAGUUGCGUACAGCCUGAUUGUACGGUUUUGGUAUUUUGCAGACAGGUUUCUAGAGCGAAAGUUUGGUCCUCGUUUUGUGACCUUUUUGGACAGCUUUGAUUUUUAAAGUGGAACCAAAUUUCAUUUGGCAAAUGCAGCAACCAAGCACAUCUCUGUAACCCAUUUGGCCGCUGGUGCCACAGGUGGGGCCCAGGAGCCAGGCCUGGGCAGCGUGGGGGCGCGUGGGGGCGGGCGGGCCUGGGGCAGGGGAAGUGGGGAGCCCCGCGGAUCAUGUUGUACCAGCCGAGCUGGCGUCGAGGGAGGGGCUGGCGGGUGGGGCUCCUCCAAGGGUAGGAAGGGCCUGCAGCGGGAGCUGGGGGCUGUCACUUGGAGCCUGGCUUCCAGAGCAGUCAGGGUUGAGGGUGAAUGCCUAGGACCAGCGCCCCCGUGGCCUCCCUGCCCCCGCUGCCCACCCCUGGCCCAAGCCAGUCGCUGUUGGCCUCUGGCAGGACACUGUUCAGUGUCCCAUCCACUUGGAAGCGAGCCAGUCUUUUUUUGCAAGGUCGGUUGACCGAGAGCUUCUUUUCUCAGUUGUAAAUAGUUGUGUGUUUUUGUUUGACUGGUGGGUGGCGGGAGGCGGGGAGUAUAAAUUCGCUGCAUGAGUAACGGUCCGACUUAGUAGAAGCAUGUGCCCUCAGGUGACAGGGCAUCGCGGGUGAGAACACCUUGGUGACUAAAUCCCUUCAGUAGCUGUAAAGGUUUUAGUUGUGCAUUGAUUAAGUUACCGUAAAAGCUUAGGUUUAUUUUUGCAGCACUCAGUGGCUAAGCGUUAGAGCAUAGCAGUGGGCUGCCCGGUUGGAGUCGUGUAAACUUGUAAUUACAAAUAAACAUGCAAACCUUGGAGACUUUCUGCUUUGAAAGUGCCCGCAUCGCCUCCUGCCUGACACGCCCUCUCAAGGGGGGUGCUCCUCAGGCCUUGAGCUGGUGGGACUCGGGACGUCUGGUGUCCUGGAGCGAGGCCUCCAGGGGUGACUGCUGCUGUUCUCCAGACUUUGGACAUAAACUAGCUACAAAACCGGCUUCAGAAGUGGCCCCUUUGCUGCUUCAGUGCAGCGUCCACGCUCCCCAGAGUCCUCACGUUCUGAUGUUUCAGGACCCGUCAGGGGCGGGCAGCAGGCCAGCGUGGGCCAGCCUCGUGUCCCGGCCCGUCACCUCCUCCCCGCAGAUCCUGAGCACCGGCAGUAGUUUCAGAAUUUGACUACAUUCUCGGCAGCCUUUCAUCUGGAGCCCUGGGAUGCAGGUUCGAUCCCCAGCCCAGCCUGGACAGCUUGCUGUAGCUGUGGCUUGGCCCUGACCUCUGACUUCCACGUGCCGUGGGGGCACAGCUAAAAAAAACAAGAGGCAGAAACAGCAGGAAAUCUCAAGGCAAAGCGGUGUGUUGACCUGAUCUGCUAAACCAGAAAAUCGGGACUGGGCUGUGGCUGCUGCUCCGCACAUGAAUUCCAGGGUUUAAACCGAGUGCUGCUUGCCGUGACUUCGCAUCUUCAUUAAGGACGUGAGCAAAGGCCCACGAAGAAGCAUGCUGCCCUGGUCCUCAAGGAGGGACCCCAAGUUUCGGCAUCCGCGGCGCCUCCGCCCGCAGCAGGUGGACCCCGUGAGGCCCUCUCAGCCCCCAAGGAGGAGCCACGCUCACCCUCCGCCGUCUAGAGCCUGGCAAUACGGGCCAGAAGGAAAGUGCCAGACCCCAAGGGAGUGCGCUUUCUAAAGGACUGUCAGCACCUCAAGGACUGGACGCUGGAAGAAAGGUUAAAAACGUGCAGGUUUAUUGUAGGGCACGCGUGGACAGUAAGACGGGAGGGGAGACGCCUGCGUGUCAUUCUGAGAAUCGCCCAUGAUGUAAAUUUAAAAAUCACUGCGAGCGAGCUUCCAUUCA